AUACACCUAUUACGUUCAAUCAUCUGAUUUUAGACGACGAGAUACUUUUCUGGAUGCUUUCCUAACGCUUUGCGACACAACGAUGCGAUGAUUUCUUGGCAGUGGCGCUAAAAUAAUUGUACAUAUUUAUACGCUUAAACAAACUUAAAUUUUAAGCUUUUUUUAUAUCUCUUUUCUGUAUUUAAAAAACAAUUUCAAGUUACAUUAUUUCCCAUUCGCCUGAUAUACAAUUUAACACGGUUCAUGGUCGUUUUAACUUUGAAAGAGAACAUUUGUAGAAAGGGUAAUCGACAACCGGAUAGACCUCGAAAGGGCCUACGAGAAAUAAGGGAUGUUUAAACACGUGCUGCCUUCGGGAAUAUGAGAGCACCGGAUGUUGAAUGUCUUACGUGAUACAACGCGCGUCAGCCACAUCCAAUCGCACGUACUGUGUAGAGAUAGAAAGAUGACAAGCGGUACGGCACAGGGACAAAGGGAGCUCUUCGCACGAUCACCAACUCUCACUUGCCCUCAUUGUCAAACGAUGCGAUUA